rnacentral:rRNA from 1 species
GAUGAACGCUGGCGGCGUGCUUAACACAUGCAAGUCGAACGGUGAACACGGAGCUUGCUCUGUGGGGUCAGUGGCGAACGGGUGAGUAACACGUGAGCAACCUGCCCCUGACUCUGGGAUAAGCGCUGGAAACGGCGUCUAAUACUGGAUAUGUGACGUGACCGCAUGGUCUGCGUUUGGAAAGAUUUUUCGGUUGGGGAUGGGCUCGCGGCCUAUCAGCUUGUUGGUGAGGUAAUGGCUCACCAAGUCGUCGACGGGUAGCCGGCCUGAGAGGGUGACCGGCCACACUGGGAUUGAGACACGGCCCAGACUCCUACGGGAGGCAGCAGUGGGGAAUAUUGCACAAUGGGCGAAAGCCUGAUGCAGCAACGCCGCGUGAGGGAUGACGGCCUUCGGGUUGUAAACCUUUUUUAGCAGGGAAGAAGCGAAAGUGACGGUACCUGCAGAAAAAGCGCCGGCUAACUACGUG